AAUCUAUCAACACUCCACAACACCGUGCACAAACCAUGUUGGCCUCGCCUCAUGUCAUGUGAGGCGUUGGUCUUUUGCCAACCAACCAAAACCAAACCAAUAACCAACUAACAAUUGAGGAUGCAGCUUAGAGCUUCAUCUUCGCAAACCAAGACAACUCUCAACAACGGAUAUCUUGGCUCUCAGAUCGAUGAAGAACGCAGCGAAAUGCGAUACGUAGUGUGAAUUGCAGAAAUACGUGAAUCAUCGAAUCUUUGAACGCAAAUUGCGCUCGAGGCCUCGGCCAAGAGCAUGUCUGCCUCAGCGUCGGGUUAAAACUCAUCGCAACCAUCCAUGUGGUGGUUGUACGGUGGAACUGGCUGUCCUGCCGACCCUCGUACAUGUACAGGAGAAGCGGGUCAGCUGAAGCGAAGCUGUUGCUGAUGGACCCUGCUAUGGGCCUCUACUGGGUAGGCAACUCGUUUGCUGUAAUGCUUUAGUAGGUGGCUUUGGGACUGUGAGCAGCACAAACCAGGAAUGCUCUUCAUUGAGCAUAAACCCUCCUUUUCUCGACCUGAGCUCAGGCAAGA
rnacentral:sRNA from 1 species